rnacentral:rRNA from 1 species
UCCGACACCGUUUAAACCCAAUACACCAGUUCUCGUACGAUCACUGAAGUUAAGCGACGUCGGGUGAUGUCAGUACUCGGAUGGGUGACCGUCUGAGAGAUCACGUGUUGUUGGUU